GAUAGGGCACUGACCGCAUCAUCCUCUCUUCGUCUCCUCACUUCCCCCAUUCUCUCCUUGUUCCCCUAACCCUAGCUUUUCUCUACGCCGCCGCCACCACCCGUCCUCCCGCCCCUAGCGCCGCCACCAUGCCUUCUCUCCUCCCGUUACUCACCACCACUGGCCCUCCUCGUCCUUGCCUUCGGUUGCGAUGCUUCUGUCUCGUCAAGCUCACCGCCCCCGUCCUGGGCCUCGAAGCGUCGUCGGGAGGAGCAAGCGGACUGCCUCUCGCGCGCCGUCACCAUCGCCUGGAGAAGGCUCGCGCGAUGGUCGCCGGCAUGCAUCCUCUCCGUGUGGCACAGGUUGAACUCGCAUCCCUCUUCCAUCCCUCUCAUCUCUCUCUGCCCCUUCCGUUGCUGCUCCCCUUUCUCCUGUACAAGUGCGGGCACUUUUUGGUCGGAGCCGAGCUCCCGGUCAUGGCCGGCGAGGCCAUGGGAGCUGCUCCCCUCGUUGUUAUACAGAUCCACCUCGACAUCAUGUCUUCUCACAACAAGGUUCUUAGAUUUGGUGGUGGCUUCGCAGGCUCCGGUGACCAUCCAAAUCACCUCUUCAGUCCAUCUAUCUUCUCAAGGGGGGCGCAGGUCACUUGUUUCAAUGAGGACAUGCACGACAUCACGCUCCAUUUCCAGAUCAUAAGCUUCUCUAAAUAGCAAAAUGUUACUCAAACAAAGACACUGGAAUAGAAAUCUUACCCACAAAACCGGGGGUGGGGGCUUCUUGCAAGGCUGUGUAGGAAUCUGGAGGGCUGGUCUUCGGCAAGGUCACAACACGUGUGAGCUCCUCCUUUUGAUAUCUUGACCAUGAUGUAAUUUGGAUUUUAUAUGGCUGCUCCUUAUCAAUGUGGUUUCAAAUUAUUCUGCUACUCCAAAAGGUUCUAUUUGCAGGUAUUGUAAUGUUUGCUUGCACCUAGCUCCUAAACACACAUGGAUCCCGCAUUUUAUUUCUUUUGUUGUCUCGUGUAUUUUCAUAUGAUGAUAUAGUUCAUCAUUGAUCUGAAUGCUUAAAUGAAACUCACUCCGGGUGAGAACAG